rnacentral:lncRNA from 1 species
CCUCUUUAAAUACUGUUUUGUUGGCAAAGUGCAUGCCAAUAUCAAAGGCUGGAUUUUUUAGCGUAGUUUCUCUCCUCCAUUGUCUGAAGUUUGGAACAUUUAUUUUCCUCCUAUUGCUGGUGACUUCACCAUUCUCAUCACACUCGUCAUCACUGUCUUGUUUGCUAUGAAGAUCUUCUGAAUUCUGGACAUCAUCUGAAAUCUCCCCUGCAUAACCCAUUUCUUCAGGCUCUUCUUCAAUUGGAUUGUCAAUGCACUCCUCAAACAUUGUAUCAUCAAUCUCCACCUCUUCUGCAUCUGUAUCUUGCUCAUAGUCACUAUCUAUGAACUCUGUAUCAUCUUCUUCGUCACUCUCUUCAUUUUCACUAGCAUUCCCAGCUCUUUCCCUUU